GAGAGAACGUUGCGUCAGCAACGGCCCGCAGGGCGAGCCACGAAGUGGUGAGUCAUCCUCUAUCACCGACCA
rnacentral:sRNA from 1 species